rnacentral:rRNA from 1 species
GCUCAGACGAAACGCUGGCGGCGUGCUUAACACAUGCAAGUCGAGCGAGAAAGGGGGGGCAACCCCCUGAGUAGAGCGGCGCACGGGUGAGUAACGCGUGGGUAACCUACCCCCAGGCGGGGGAUAACUACUCGAAAGGGUGGCUAAUACCGCAUGAGACCACGGGAUCUUCGGAUCCUGAGGCUAAAGAUCGCACCGGCUUGCCGGUGCUGUCACCAGGGGAUGGGCCCGCGUCCGAUUAGCUAGUUGGUGAGGUAAUGGCUCACCAAGGCUCCGAUCGGUAGCUGGUCUGAGAGGAUGAUCAGCCACACUGGAACUGAAACACGGUCCAGACUCCUACGGGAGGCAGCAGUGAGGAAUAUUGCGCAAUGGGGGAAACCCUGACGCAGCAACGCCGCGUGGGUGAAGAAGGCCUUCGGGUCGUAAAGCCCUUUCGGACGGGACGAACGCUCCGCGGUGACAAGCCGCGGAGUCUGACGGUACCGUAGGAAGAAGCACCGGCUAACUCCGUGCCAGCAGCCGCGGUAAUACGGAGGGUGCGAGCGUUGUUCGGAAUUACUGGGCGUAAAGCGCGUGUAGGCGGCCUUGCAAGUCAGGCGUGAAAGCCCUCGGCUUAACCGGGGAAGUGCGUCUGAAACUGCUUGGCUUGAGUACGGGAGAGGGAGGCGGAAUUCCCAGUGUAGAGGUGAAAUUCGUAGAUAUUGGGAGGAACACCGGUGGCGAAAGCGGCCUCCUGGACCGAUACUGACGCUGAGACGCGAAAGCGUGGGGAGCAAACAGGAUUAGAUACCCUGGUAGUCCACGCGGUAAACGAUGGGCACUAGGUGUGGGGGGUAUCCACUCCUCCCGUGCCGAAGCUAACGCAUUAAGUGCCCCGCCUGGGGGAGUACGGCCGUCAGGUUAAAA